UUUCCAGAGAGGCUGUGGACCCUGCUUCAUCACACGAUCUCAGCCUUGAGGAGGAGCUGACCAGAAAUGGAUUCAGCAGAUCUGCAGAGCUUUCAGGUGAACCCCAACGAUCGAUCGGAUGGAUAGUCAGGAGGAACAGGCGCAGAUGGGAAACCCACCUAUUUGGUAAAACAUGGACUCGAGGCGCAGGGGAAGCAGAUUCCAGUACUUGGUGGACAGGGAAGGUUACGG